CCUACGGGAGGCAGCAGUGAGGAAUAUUGGUCAAUGGCCGGGAGGCUGAACCAGCCAAGUCGCGUGAGGGAAGACGGCCCUACGGGUUGUAAACCUCUUUUGUCAGGGAGCAAGGUGCAGGUCGGGACCUGCUGUGAGAGUACCUGAAGAAAAAGCAUCGGCUAACUCCGUGCCAGCAGCCGCGGUAAUACGGAGGAUGCGAGCGUUAUCCGGAUUUAUUGGGUUUAAAGGGUGCGCAGGCGGAGGCACAAGUCAGCGGUAAAAUCGCGGGGCUCAACCCCGCUCCGCCGUUGAAACUGUGUCCCUUGAGUGCGCGAAGGGUAGGCGGAAUGCGUGGUGUAGCGGUGAAAUGCAUAGAUAUCACGCAGAACUCCGAUCGCGAAGGCAGCCUACCGGCGCGCAACUGACGCUCAUGCACGAAAGCGUGGGUAUCGAACAGGAUUAGAUACCCCAGUAGUC
rnacentral:rRNA from 1 species